GCUGGGCGCGGUGGCGCGUGCCUGUAAUCCCAGCUACUUGGGAGGCUGAGGCCGGCGGAUCGCUUGAGCUCAGGAGUUCUGGGCUGCAGUGCGCUAUGCCGAUCGGGUGUCCGCACUAAGUUCGGCAUCAAUAUGGUGAUCCCUGGGAAGCUGGGGGUCACCAGGUUGCCUAAGGAGGGGUGAACCGGCCCAGGUCGGAAACGGAGCAGGUCAAAACUCCCGUGCCGAUCAGUAGUGGGAUCGCGCCUGUGAAUAGUCACUGCAGCGUAGCCUGGGCAAGACAGUGAGACACGGUCUCUU
ensembl:misc_RNA Metazoa_SRP Metazoan signal recognition particle RNA